GUCUAGCUGACGAGUCCCAAAUAUGACGAAACAUGCGUCCUGGAU
rfam:Schistosoma haematobium scaffold1809_5, whole genome shotgun sequence.